rnacentral:lncRNA from 1 species
GAAAGAUAAGGUGCAGUCCCCUCAGUGUCAUGGAGCAGCAGGAAUUUCAUUAUUGUUAUUGAAGCACUACUUCCUUGAAAACAUCCAAUUUUAUUUGCCUUUUGAUGAGUCCAUUGUCCUAAGAGAAUGGAUGAAGCAUCCAGCACAGGAAAUAUUACACCAGCUCCAGCUGCCAACUCCAUCAGCCUGACUCCUUCACUAAUACCACAUUUCAAGGUCAACCAUGCAUCUGACACCUUCAUGGGCUCCAGUGGAGCUGCAUUUCUUGUUCCAAGAGUGAUUGCAUCUUGUCAACUGCUCCUUUUGUCACAAUAUGAGAUCCACAUAAACACCAAUUCCCAGAAUAAGUUGUUAUGAGGUUUUCAAUGGGCUUGAUUGAAAAUUCUGGAAGAAAAACCUAGCCGGGGCCUACAAUUACUCUUGUAACAAACACCAAGUUUAAUGAAAGAGAUGCAAUGGCUUAUGACACAAGAAAGAAAGCUUGCACAUGGUUGAAAACAACAUAUGUACAGUUUGCAUAAUAAAUAUGCCUAAAACAGAGCUAUUUUCA